UACUACAACUACGAUUCGAAUACGAAUUAUUUUAAUGAGUAUCGGCCAGGGUUCGGGCCUAUUUCCUCCUCCCAGGUUGGCAUAUUUGAAAUACAAAUGUUUUUUUAGUACUGAGAAAUUAUUACAGGAAAAAAAGAAUAGUAUAACGAGUAAAGACAAAACUACCCCAACAGUAAUGUAACUGUGUGUAGAGGUAGUAUUGCAAAGUUCCGUGGUUUAAACAAGCCAAAAGGUAACGAUCAGACAGUAAACAUAUCAAAACGUCCUGAUCCUUAUAUAAAGAAAGAACUUCGUAAAAUAUUGAAGUGACAUCUUCUAUUUGUUAGUUUCAAACUUUUUAGAAUAUGAUCUCUCUUUAACGACUCCUUCUCGUCUCGUCUCGUCACCUCUACCAACGUUUGAACGUUCGGCAGGAACCGGCGUAACGGACGGUGUGGUUCUCUUUUCUAUUGUUGUGGAGCUACCGCAGACGGUACCGACCGCGGGUACAGGCGUGCCGACUCGAGGCGUACGAGCUCCGGUGGUAGAGGCCACAGGCUCCGUUGCCUAUGUACAAUCCUAAGGUGCUCCGGCCGCCACCGCUCCCUUCUCUGGUCCGGUCCGAGAUGGGCCCGCUCGGCCGCUCCCGCUACUUCAUGGUGACGUUGAAGUUGGGAAACGUACCGCGGACGGAGGCCGCUGGAUGGCCUGUCGACGGACGCUACCCGACAAACAUAUGCAACCUGUUCAAUCCUUAAAAGCCUUGUGAAACAAGCUCGACGGGAGCCUUCGACAACCCGAGUCUAGUUCUAUGAACUUUAUAUCUCACGUUGGUUCUUGUCUUGUCUGACGGUAAUGACGGUAGGGACGGGGGUCGGACUUACAGAGGUAACCCUGUUCGGUUGUAAGUCUGAGAUCGAAGGACUGGUAUAUAUGAAGAAGUUCUACUUUAGCCUCCGGAGUUUUAGGAGGUACUCCUGGCUACCCAUCUGCAGUGCGGUAAGUAGCACUUGUAGUCACUAGGGAAUAUCGCACCCGAGAAAUUUUUUCUUUUAAGUAGACUAAAGGUCACUACCCAACUUCUCGCCCCACCACCGCUUCAUGAUACGCGGCUCCCAGAGUUAGUGUACGAAGAAAGUGUGUGUAAAGGUGGGCCGGAACUAAACCAACAUACCAGACUAGUUCCUGAACAACAGACUACCUUUGGGAAGUAACAUUGACCAAAGGCCAACACUUAACACUUCAUCUCAAACACAUGACCAUCGUAUAAUAUCUGAUAUGGUCAGAUCGACCUAGUACAUAUCAGCUCGUCAAACUUUACGAUUCUUUUCACUGUCAUUUUACCGUCAUGUUCAUGGUCUUAUAACUUACGUCUGGAUUUACCAUGAUGUCCUCACGUGAUCAAACCACAGGACCACGUAAAAUGAUAUAGUCUUGUUCAUCAUCUGAGCUUUUAAGAAGUACCUUAGACAUAUAUAAGUUAGCAAACUAUUUUGAGAAAGGUGAAUUAAUGACAAUUUUCCUCCUCGAAAAUGUUUGACACCUUUGUCUCUUCCGAGACGAUAUCACUUCUCAAAAGUGCACACCCAAAGACCGGCGCCCCUUUUCACGUCAAAGACCAUCACUGUCCUAGACAUAACUUGUCUCCUCCUCAAACAUGUUUG
rnacentral:rRNA from 1 species